CGUUAUGGCGAGCUGUGCGCAGGAGGCUUCGGCCUGCCGGUCCUCUGUUCCGGUCUGCAAACCUGUGUACAGCUUGCCACCUUU
rnacentral:antisense_RNA from 1 species